rnacentral:tRNA from 1 species
GGUCCCGUAGUGGAGCGGUUUAACACGCCUGCCUGUCACGCAGGAGAUCGCGGGUUCGAUUCCCGCCCUU